GACGAACGCUGGCGGCGUGCUUAACACAUGCAAGUCGAACGGAAAGGCCCCUUUGGGGGUACUCGAGUGGCGAACGGGUGAGUAACACGUGAGUAACCUGCCCUUGACUUCGGGAUAACUUCAGGAAACUGGGGCUAAUACCGGAUAGGAAUCCUUGCUGCAUGGUGGGGGUUGGAAAGCUUCGGCGGUUUUGGAUGGACUCGCGGCUUAUCAGCUUGUUGGUGGGGUAGUGGCUUACCAAGGCUUUGACGGGUAGCCGGCCUGAGAGGGCGACCGGCCACAUUGGGACUGAGAUGCGGCCCAGACUCCUACGGGAGGCAGCAGUGGGGAAUAUUGCACAAUGGGCGGAAGCCUGAUGCAGCAACGCCGCGUGCGGGAUGACGGCCUUCGGGUUGUAAACCGCUUUCAGCAGGGGCGAAGCUUGUGGUGACGGUACCUGCAGAAGAAGCACCGGCUAACUACGUG
rnacentral:rRNA from 1 species